rnacentral:tRNA from 2 species
CCGCUCAUAGCUCAGUUGGUAGAGCAGCUCCCUCUUAAGGAGAAUGUCCUAGGUUCGAAUCCUAGUGAGCGGA